rnacentral:rRNA from 1 species
CCUACGGAGGCAGCAGUGGGGAAUAUUGGACAAUGGGCGAAAGCCUGAUCCAGCCAUACCGCGUGGGUGAAGAAGGCCUUCGGGUUGUAAAGCCCUUUUGUUGGGAAAGAAAUCCAGCUGGCUAAUACCCGGUUGGGAUGACGGUACUCAAAGAAUAAGCACCGGCUAACUUCGUGCCAGCAGCCGCGGUAAUA